AGAGUUUGAUCCUGGCUCAGGAUGAACGCUAGCGGCAGGCCUAACACAUGCAAGUCGAACGGUAACAUUUCCAGCUUGCUGGAAGAUGACGAGUGGCGCACGGGUGCGUAACGCGUAUGCAACUUACCUAUAACUAAAGGAUAGCCCUGAGAAAUUGGGAUUAAUACUUUAUGGUACUAUGAUUUGGCAUCAUUUUAUAGUUAAAGAUUUAUUGGUUAUAGAUAGGCAUGCGUCCCAUCAGUUUGUUGGUGAGGUAACGGCUCACCAAGACUGCGAUGGGUAGGGGGCCUGAGAGGGUUAUCCCCCACACUGGUACUGAGACACGGACCAGACUCCUACGGGAGGCAGCAGUGAGGAAUAUUGGUCAAUGGAGGCAACUCUGAACCAGCCAUGCCGCGUGCAGGAAGAAUGCCCUACGGGUUGUAAACUGCUUUUAUAUAGGAAGAAACUUCCCGACUUGUCGGGAACUGACGGUACUAUAUGAAUAAGCACCGGCUAACUCCGUGCCAGCAGCCGCGGUAAUACGGAGGGUGCAAGCGUUAUCCGGAUUUAUUGGGUUUAAAGGGUGCGCAGGCGGAAUAAUAAGUCAGUGGUGAAAGCCCACAGCUCAACUGUGGAAUUGCCAUUGAUACUGUUAUUCUUGAAUAUAGUUGAAGUUAGCGGAAUGUAUCAUGUAGCGGUGAAAUGCAUAGAUAUGAUACAGAACACCAAUUGCGAAGGCAGCUAACUAAGCUAUUAUUGACGCUCAGGCACGAAAGCGUGGGGAGCAAACAGGAUUAGAUACCCUGGUAGUCCACGCCGUAAACUAUGAUUACUCGAUGUCGGCGAUAUAAUGUCGGUGUCUAAGCGAAAGUGAUAAGUAAUCCACCUGGGGAGUACGAUCGCAAGGUUGAAACUCAAAGGAAUUGACGGGGGCCCGCACAAGCGGUGGAGCAUGUGGUUUAAUUCGAUGAUACGCGAGGAACCUUACCUGGGCUUAAAUGCAAAAUGACCGUCUCGGAAACGAGACUUUCUUCGGACAGAUUGCAAGGUGCUGCAUGGUUGUCGUCAGCUCGUGCUGUGAGGUGUCGGGUUAAGUCCCAUAACGAGCGCAACCCCUAUUCUUAGUUGCCAGCGGAUAAUGCCGGGGACUCUAAGGAAACUGCCCGCGCAAGCGGAGAGGAAGGUGGGGAUGACGUCAAAUCAUCACGGCCCUUACGUCCAGGGCUACACACGUGCUACAAUGGUCAGCACAGAGGGCAGCUACCUGGUGACAGGAUGCUAAUCUCGAAAACUGAUCUCAGUUCGGAUCGAAGUCUGCAACUCGACUUCGUGAAGUUGGAAUCGCUAGUAAUCGCGCAUCAGCCAUGGCGCGGUGAAUACGUUCCCGGGCCUUGUACACACCGCCCGUCAAGCCAUGGGAGUUGGUUCUACCUGACGACGCUGCGCUAACCUUCGGGAGGCAAGCGGCCACGGUGGGAUCAGCGACUGGGGUGAAGUCGUAACAA
rnacentral:rRNA from 1 species